UACAGAGGGUGCAAGCGUUGUUCGGAAUUAUUGGGCGUAAAGCGCGUGUAGGCGGCUUUGCAAGUCGGGUGUGAAAUCCCUCAGCUUAACUGAGGAAGUGCGCCCGAAACUGCAGAGCUUGAGUGCCGGAGAGGAUGGCGGAAUUCCCCAAGUAGAGGUGAAAUUCGUAGAUAUGGGGAGGAACACCGGUGGCGAAGGCGGCAUCCUGGACCGGUAUUGACGCUGAUGCGCGAAAGCCAGGGGAGCAAACGGG
rnacentral:rRNA from 1 species